GCAAAUAUCAGGAGGAACACCGAUGGCAAAGGCAGAUCUCUGGGCCGUAACUGACGCUGAGGAGCGAAAGGGUGGGGAGCAAACAGGCUUAGAUACCCUGGUAGUCCACCCCGUAAACGUUGGGAACUAGUUGUGGGGUCCUUUCCACGGAUUCCGUGACGCAGCUAACGCAUUAAGUUCCCCGCCUGGGGAGUACGGCCGCAAGGCUAAAACUCAAAGGAAUUGACGGGGACCCGCACAAGCGGCGGAGCAUGCGGAUUAAUUCGAUGCAACGCGAAAAACCUUACCCAGGCUUGACAUACAC
rnacentral:rRNA from 1 species